rnacentral:rRNA from 1 species
GGGGGGGGGGGGGGCUUACAUGCAGUCGACGAUGAUGCCCAGCUUGCUGGGUGGAUUAGUGGCGAACGGGUGAGUAACACGUGAGUAACCUGCCCCUGACUCUGGGAUAAGCGUUGGAAACGACGUCUAAUACUGGAUAUGAUCACUGGCCGCAUGGUCUGGUGGUGGAAAGAUUUUUUGGUUGGGGAUGGACUCGCGGCCUAUCAGCUUGUUGGUGAGGUAAUGGCUCACCAAGGCGACGACGGGUAGCCGGCCUGAGAGGGUGACCGGCCACACUGGGACUGAGACACGGCCCAGACUCCUACGGGAGGCAGCAGUGGGGAAUAUUGCACAAUGGGCGAAAGCCUGAUGCAGCAACGCCGCGUGAGGGAUGACGGCCUUCGGGUUGUAAACCUCUUUUAGUAGGGAAGAAGCGAAAGUGACGGUACCUGCAGAAAAAGCACCGGCUAACUACGUGCCAGCAGCCGCGGUAAUACGUAGGGUGCAAGCGUUGUCCGGAAUUAUUGGGCGUAAAGAGCUCGUAGGCGGUUUGUCGCGUCUGCUGUGAAAUCCCGAGGCUCAACCUCGGGCUUGCAGUGGGUACGGGCAGACUAGAGUGCGGUAGGGGAGAUUGGAAUUCCUGGUGUAGCGGUGGAAUGCGCAGAUAUCAGGAGGAACACCGAUGGCGAAGGCAGAUCUCUGGGCCGUAACUGACGCUGAGGAGCGAAAGCAUGGGGAGCGAACAGGAUUAGAUACCCUGGUAGUCCAUGCCGUAAACGUUGGGCGCUAGAUGUAGGGACCUUUCCACGGUUUCUGUGUCGUAGCUAACGCAUUAAGCGCCCCGCCUGGGGAGUACGGCCGCAAGGCUAAAACUCAAAGGAAUUGACGGGGGCCCGCACAAGCGGCGGAGCAUGCGGAUUAAUUCGAUGCAACGCGAAGAACCUUACCAAGGCUUGACAUACACCGGAAACGGCCAGAGAUGGUCGCCCCCUUGUGGUCGGUGUACAGGUGGUGCAUGGUUGUCGUCAGCUCGUGUCGUGAGAUGUUGGGUUAAGUCCCGCAACGAGCGCAACCCUCGUUCUAUGUUGCCAGCGGGUUAUGCCGGGGACUCAUAGGAGACUGCCGGGGUCAACUCGGAGGAAGGUGGGGAUGACGUCAAAUCAUCAUGCCCCUUAUGUCUUGGGCUUCACGCAUGCUACAAUGGCCGGUACAAAGGGCUGCGAUACCGUAAGGUGGAGCGAAUCCCAAAAAGCCGGUCUCAGUUCGGAUUGAGGUCUGCAACUCGACCUCAUGAAGUCGGAGUCGCUAGUAAUCGCAGAUCAGCAACGCUGCGGUGAAUACGUUCCCGGGCCUUGUACACACCGCCCGUCAAGUCAUGAAAGUCGGUAACACCCGAAGCCGGUGGCCUAACCCUUGUGGAAGGAGCCGUCGAAGGUGGAUUUGGGC